AAAUUUGACAACCCAUCUAUGACAUGUUGACAAGUUAAUCUCGUUCUUAUGACCGCUUCGGCGACAUCGUCACGGCACGCUAUAUGUAUCCAGCCCGGUCCUCCCUUCGAAACACAGGCUUCUGCUUCCGGUCAGCUCCGCGCCGCCGAGGGCGUCUCAGCCACCAGGAUCCCGCGAGUCUCCGGUGGUCACGAUCGACUUUUCUUACCUCCAGCGGCCCCACGGAUGACAGAUUAACAAUUCUUAAUUUAGAAUGAAACUAUGAGACUGUGAAUGGCAUGGUUGAGAUGAUGAGCGGCAAUGCUACAUCGUGGACAGUUGAGGAUGCAGAAAGUUUUAUCAUUUGAAAGGAUAUUAAGAAGCAGUCCAUUUAAUACAAGCUACAGCUAGAUCCUUCAAUUUUAGCAUUCAAAGGAAUUGAGGUUGGCAAUGCUUUAGGAACAUUAUAUUUUCGACAAAGAUAGCAAUCCGUCAUCUUGAAGUUGCAAGUACUCAGAUGGUCAACAUAGUCAUAUCUGAGAGGGUAGAUACUGUUAAAGAGACAUUUGAGAGAUCCAUAUAUAGAUCAUGUGUGCAAGAAGCAAAGAUUUAAAGCUAGUAGCUCAUCAUGAAGAACUGCAAAAUUCCAAUAGUAAGAAGUUGAGGCUCAGGGUCCGAUACCAAUAAAGCAAGAC